CUUCCCCCCACCCUCAUCUUCAUCAUUCUUCCCAUCCACAUCUACUCCACCUCCGAAAUUCCUACUAUGUUCGAAGCAGCCCCUUCAUUUUCUUGGUUUUGUACUGCUUUGCCUUCUCCACUGCAAUCUUAACAGCCAAAGGAACAUCCUCAUCCACAUCACCAUCCUCGAUUUCAAUAAUUUGUUUGAAAUCAACCUUCUUCCCACUGAUUUCAGGGACGAGUUGGGACACCGGAUUUCAUAGAGUUUUUGUACGCUUUAGCUUUGGCCAAUGCAACCUUAACAGGGUCUUCUGCCGGAUUUUCUUGAGAAUUUGAGGUUUUGAUUGUGGGGAAGCUCUUGUAUUGUGGAUGUUUUCACAUGGUAUCGACAUUGAUAAAGAGAAGAAAGAUUUAGAUGGCUGUAAAGAUUGGAUUUUUGUUUGUAUUGCUUAAUUACUCUUGUGUCAACUACAAGACCCUUUUAUAGGGUAGAGAAAGAUUUACACAAGGAAAGAAUAAAUCCUACUCUAAUCAAGGAUUUUAGAUUGCUGAUUUUUAUCCUUGAUUGAACUCAUCCAAUAUUUUCCAUAAAUACUUUCAACACUCCCCCUCAAGUUGAGUAACGGGAUUUCCGAUACUCAACUUGUGAAGAACUUCUGAAAAACUUUUGAAGUUCACGGCCUUGGUUAGGAUAUCAGCAAGCUGAUCUUCGGACCUCACAAACGGGAGCUCCACAAUCUUUUCCUCAAUCUUCUCUUUGAUAAAGUGCCUAUCCACUUCGACAUGUUUAGUUCUAUCAUGUUGAACUGGGUUCUCAGAUAUGUUGAUGGCAGCCUUGUUGUCGCAGUACAUUUGGCACGUCUUUGUUGGGUGAAGGCUUAAUUCCAUCAACAAUCUUCUUAGCCAAAGGACUUCGGUUAACCGACUCUUGAUCCCUCUGAAUUCUGCUUCUGCACUUGAGAGAGCAACCACCUUUUGUUUCUUGCUUCUCCAUGAGACAAGAUUUCCUCCCACAGAUGCAAAGUAUCCUGCUGUUGAUUUCCUGUCAACUGGGUUUCCAGCCCAGUCAGCAUCAGUGUAGGCUUGUAUCUCGAGAUGUCCAGUUUUCCUGAACAGUACUCCAUAGUCAAAGGUUCCUUUCAAGUAUCUCACAAUUCUGAGCGCAGCUUCCAUGUGGUCGGCUUGUGGUUGGUGCAUAAACUGACUCACAACUCCAACAGCAUACGCAAUAUCAGGCCGAGUAUGGGAAAGAUAGAUGAGUUUCCCUACCAAACGUUGGUAUUUUCCUCGAUCCGCCAAUUCAGCUCCAUUCACAAUCUGUAGCCCAUGAUUGACAGUCAUAGGCGUCUCAGCUGGCUUGCAAUCUAGCAUCCCAGUUUCUGCAAGAAGGUCAAGAGUAUACUUCUUCUGAUUGAUAAAAAUCCCUUUCCUCGAUCUGAGUACUUCGAUUCCGAGGAAGUACUUUAGUCUCCCAAGGUCCUUUAUUUCGAACUCCUUGAAAAGAUUUGCUUUCAACUUCUGGAUUUCUUCUAAGUCAUCCCCUGUUAUGAUCAUGUCAUCAACGUAAAUGACUAAGCAAGAAAUAAGAUCACCUUGUUUCUUCAAGAAUAAGGUGUGGUCUGAAUUGCUUUGCUGGUACCCGAACUUCUUCAUAGCUGUGGUGAAUCUUCCAAACCAAGCUCUGGGAGACUGUUUGAGCCCAUAUAAAGUCUUUUCAAUCUGCAUACCUCCCUUCCUCGAACUCAUCUGAAAAACCUUGGGGUGCAUCCAUGUAUACCUCCCGUUCUUCUUCAAGCUCACCAUGAAGAAAGGCAUUUGUAACAUCAAACUGAUGAAGAUCCCAAUCCUUGUUUGCAGCAAUGGAGAGGAGCACCCUGACAGUGUUCAUCUUUGCCACAGGCGAGAAAGUUUCUGCAUAGUCGAUCCCAUAUGUUUGUGUGUAGCCUUUUGCAACCAGCCGAGCUUUGUAUCGCUCAAUAGAUCCAUCGGGUUUUCGUUUGAUUGUGAAAACCCAUCUGCAUCCCACAGUUUUCUUCCCUUUUGGCAACCGACACUUCUCCCAUGUGUGAUUCCGGUUUAGGCUCCUAUCUCUUUCUUCAUAGCAUUUCUCCAAUGCUCGAUCUUCAGGGCUUGCUCUGCUGUUUGUGGAUCUCCUCAUCAUAUAAGGCCGCUUCAUAGGCUGUGGCUAUUUUUGGACNAAUCAUCAAUAAAGAGUAGAAAAUAUCUAAAACCUUGACCCCCCACAACCGGUGAAGGACCCCAAACAUCAGAAUGAACAAGAGAAAAUAUGGAGUUCACUUGUGUGUCAUUAGGCUUAAAAGUUUUUCGGUGGCUUUUAGCUAAAACACAAGUCUCACAAGAUAGAGUCUCAUUUUUCACUAAUUUAGGAAAUAAGAGCUUAAGAUACCCCGUGGAUGGAUGCCCUAACCGACGGUGCCAAAGCCAGGUUUCCCGGUCAGCAGUUCCGUGAGCCAGCAUCACCUUGCCUUGCUGAGCUAUCUCAUCCACAUAGUACAAUCCAUCCCGCUCAGUGCCACACCCAAUAAUCUCCCCCGUCCUGAUAUCCUGAAGAAAACAAAAGUGGGGAUGCAUUAUCAUGGUACAAUUGAGCUCUUUUGUAACAUGGCUAAUAGACAACAGUUUAUGGGAAAGAGAUGGAACAUAUAGACAAUUUGAGAGACGUAGUGUAGGAGAAAUUUCUAUAGUUCCGGCUCCUUCAACACGAGUCAAAUCACCACUUGCAGUUUAAACAUGUGUUCGGUGGGAUAUUGAUGACUUAAUAAUAUCAGUUUUAUCAAAGGUCAUCGUAUCAGUAGCUCCACAAUCAAAAAUCCACCCUUCCUCUCUAUCCCUAUUAUCACUAGGGAUGUCAAUCGGGCCAGCCCAUCGGGUUUUCGGGCUAGCCCUAUCGGGUUCCGGGUUAAUCGGGUGCGGGCUAAUCGGGUUGGAGGUUUUUUCGGGUUGUAAAUCUUCAACCCUAACCCUAAACAUUCGGGUUUCGGGCUAGCCCAUCGGGUUGGAGGUUUUAAAGGUGUAAAAAUAAAAUUAUCAUUUGUAUUUUAUUAUUCUUAAUGAUCUAAUAUAUAAUGUACAAAAUAUACAUAGAUAUAAAUUAUAUAACAAAGCAUGAAAUACAAAAAUAUAAGAUAUUCUUAGGCUUUCCAUCUUCAAGAAUUUUGACAUCUUCUUCACCACUCUCCAUAUCAACACUUGAAGAUGAGUCCUCCAUCUUUAACACCUAUAUCAACACAUUGGAAAAAGCAUAAAAACAUUGAAUCUAAAGAAUCUUCUCAUGUGAUCUAAAUUUUAUAUACAUAUGCAGACACGCAGAAGCUCCACUAAAGAAAUCCAUGACAUAGCUUUAUGGUAUCCAUAUUGAUUACAUAAGAGAUUUGCUAUUGAAUCUGGUAAGUUUUCAAAUUUCCUAAACAUUGACAAUCUUUCAUAAAUACAAUAUGAAAUCUUGCAGAAUGAUGUAAGUGAGGAUAUGACUUCGACUUUUGCAACAUAUUAACACUUCAUUUCAGUAUAUGUGUCAAGAUCCCUAUAUUCUAUUGAAAUUAGUGCACCAAUUUUUAUUUAUUUAAAUUUCUUGUAAUGUGAAGAUUGAUUAUGUGGCGAAAUCAAUCGAGUCCAAGUUUUGAGGCAUAAAGAAAUGUGUUUUUGUAUUUGGAUUAAGAAGGAAAAUUGGAAGUUCAACAAACCCCCAAACCCCCAUAUUUCUUCGGUUCUUCCCUAUAUACAUAAACUCCUCCCUCUCUUCUCCUCAUUCAACAAACCUCCACGCCACACCUGCAAUUCCUCAACAAUGGCCCCACAAUACCAACACGACCGCGCCAGAGACUACAAUCAAUAUUGAAGAACAGAAAUACAACAAUGCAGCAAGCCCAAAAUUUAUGAACAAAAACUUAAAAUUUUAAAUUUAAAAUAAAUAAAAUGAAGCAACCAACAUUCAACAAGUUCAGGUGAGUGGCAGCUGCAGAAAAAAAUUACUAGUAAAUUACUAUAUUAAAAUGAAACUAAAAAUGCUUGAAAAAUUACUCACCGGAGUAGAGGGAGUGAGAGGCAAUUGCGGCGGACUAGAAGCAGCUGACGGCGGCGAUAGCCGCUCAGUUCAGGUGGGAAGAGGCGCGGCGGUGGGAGAUGGAGAGAAGUUGAGGCGCGAUGGCGCUGGGCUCAGGUGGGAAGCGACGUGGUUGCCUGGUGGGAGACAGAUUGGAUUGGAUGCGCCGGAGGGGGGAGGCGCGGCGCGGCGGCGUGGCUGGAGGUGGUGACUGGUGCGCGAUCGGAGGUAGCUGAAGGAAGAAUGGAAGAGUGGAGGCGCGCGUCAAGGCUGAACUGAAGCAAUUCAAUUUCAACUUUAAAGCAAUUCAAAAUUUCAAACCCUAAAAUUUUAGUAUUUUUAAUUUUGAUUUUUUUUUUUAAAUCGAGUAACCCGACGGGCUGGCCCGACAACCCGACGGGCUGGCCCGCUUCAACCCGCCAGCCCGAACGGGCUAGCCCGAUUAGCCCGAUUUGUUAUCGGGUUGCGAUUUUGUAGCCCUAACCCUCUAAUUUUAUCGGGUUAUUCGGGUCGGCCCACGGGUUUCGGGUUGGAUUGACAUCCCUAAUUAUCACAAGAGGUUUGAUAUGCAGCGGAAAGAUUUAGGGACUCUCUACAUAAUUAGGAAGUGAUUUUAGUAUUAUGUAGAAGAUUGGGGUUUUUCUGGAAUUUUCGAGAACUUAGGGGGGCAGUUUGCAUAAGAUGGGGUAAGUUCUGCAAUUUAACAAAACCUCGGGGUAGCCUUUGUAUUUUAUUGAAAUUUAGGGGGGCAGAUUUGAAGGGAUGGGGUAAUUUUUGCAAAUAAAGGAAAGGAGGAGGGUUUAGUGUGAAAACACUAAACCCUAUACCUAAUUUUAAUUCCUUAUUUGCUUCUCCAGGCGCUUCCCUAUCACAUUUGCUCCUUCCAUUCUGCCCAGCCGCGAGCUUCCGAUACGCGGCCACAGCCGCUGCUCUUCCGGCCACCGCCGUUGUCCUCGCAGCCACCGUUUCUACUCCGGUUGUUUGCUGUAAGUGGACUCGAGCCACCUGUUGAAUGAGGCUGUUGACCUCGUCCUCGGGGUUGGAGAGCGAGGUGUUGCCGGCCAUGGAGCUCUCCAUUAGGUGGACGGCGGCCUCGGCAGAUCUGUGGACGGCGGCCUCGGCGGCCUCGGGAUGGACGGCGGCUUCGGCAGAUCUGGGGUGAACACGCUCCUUCUUGGCGAGGUGGGAUUCCGGGUUGUACGUCGGAAAGCGUUGCUGCAGCUGCUGUUCAACAUCUGCUGCUGAAGAUGGGGUGGAGAGAAACUCGUCGGAGACGCGAGUCAAGCUCCCGGAGCAGUACAUCUUUAGCUAGAAAUUUGAGAAUUUUGGGAAAUUGAAUUUGGUAUUGCUGCCUUGUUUUUUUUUUUUNUUAGGUAUUUGGAACAGUGAUGAACUAUUUCUGAGUUCCCAGAAUUAUGCCUGCUCUGAUACCAUGUUUUCAUAUGGUAUCGACAUUGAUAAAGAGAAGAAAGAUUUAGAUGGCUGUAAAGAUUGGAUUUUUGUUUGUAUUGCUUAAUUACUCUUGUGUCAACUACAAGACCCUUUUAUAGGGUAGAGAAAGAUUUACAUAAGGAAAGAAUAAAUCCUACUCUAAUCAAGGAUUUUAGAUUGCUGAUUUUUAUCCUUGAUUGAACUCAUCCAAUAUUUUCCAUAAAUACUUUCAACAGUGGAGAGAGAGUGAAAUUGUUUUCAUUGAUUGGAGUGAGGGAGGAGAUGCAUGAGGCCAUUGAAAUCACAAAUUUGGAUCAAUGAUUUCUGGUUUCAACAAUCGAGUUUGAACAAAAUAAUAGCGGUAGAAUUCAAAGUUAAUGGA
rnacentral:lncRNA from 1 species